rnacentral:lncRNA from 10 species
GUGGAAUACUAAAAUACCAAAUUUUAAAAAAAAAAGCAAUUUUCCAAAAUGAGGACCAUGAGUCUCCAGAUUACAACGUCCCUCUGAAAGCCUAUUAAUGAGAGAAAUUUUAAAAAGCCCUACUCUCAAGAAGGCUCAUCUCUGAAAUAUCAAAACACUAGUGAUAAAGGGAAGACCCUAAAAGCUUUUAGAGAUUUUUUUAAUCCUAUAUAAAAGAUUGGAUAGAAGAAUAUUAGACUUUUCAGCAUCAAAAGUUAGAAAACAAGGAGCAACGCCUUUAAAAUGCUUAGUGAAAAUGAUUUUCAGCCAAGAUAUUUUCAGAUAUGGAUCUCUCUUGCAAAUACUCAACUCGGCGGUAGCCAUUGUGGGCAAACACAGUUGAAGAUAAUAUUUAAACAGAGAUGGACAUGGGCAGAUUUGGCCCUUAGGCUGGCCAGGCCUGGCUGUAGUUUACCCCUGCCCAAGGUCUUGAUGUGGUUCCUUCCUUAUUAUUCAGGUUCUUCCUGGAGGACAACGUGCCAAAUAAGUUAGGAUCCAAAACCUUAAUGCUGCAUACUCUUGAAUGUACAGUUCUACUUCUAGAAAUUAUUUCUAAAUGUGAAUGUGUACAAAGGAUGGGACAGACCAUCGUGUAGAGCAAAGACCCAACAAUAGGA